rnacentral:tRNA from 2 species
GCCCCGGUAUCCGAAUUGGCACAGGAGCCGGCCUCAAAAUCCGGUGGUCUCACGACCAUGUGGGUUCGAGUCCCACCCGGGGCA